UUUGCAGUGACCUUUAGCAAAUCUUUCCCUUUUGUUAUCAGUUAAUUAAAUAUUUGGGGUACUAAUAAUGCCUUGCUGAAGCCAUCCCUGCUUUCUUUUUGUGUACACAUAUGAAACAACAGGGGGAUAGUGUGAACAUUUUAAUUUUUUAUUGAGAUUCUCUCUUGCAUUUUUUUUCCCCUCUCUUUCCCUCUCUCUCUCUGGUUUUCCCCUCCCAUGUGCGAUUUUACUUGCUGGAAAUCUCAUUAAAAGUUAUUUAUGAGCUGCUAGUGAUCCCGUAAGGAUUACACCUAAUUCAGUCUGUAAAGCUUUUGAGUUACAUUGCUUCCCAGGAAUAGUCCCCACAGCAAGAAGGACCACCUUUCCCAUUGUUUGACUUUCCUUAUCAUUAGUAUAAAUACUUCAUGAGAGGUUCCUUACAAAUGCAGAAUGGAUCUCUGACUGGACUUAGGCACAAAGUGCCAUUUGGUGCAUUAAGAUUUUUGCUUCCUAAUGCUUUGGUUCAUCCAAUUUUACAGGUGAGGAAACUAAUGAUUCAUAAAGGUGACAUCAUUUGUGCAAAACUCACGGAAAGUGUUGAGAAAAGACUGUGUUUCCUUGAAAACAGCUAGAGGUUAAUAAUAUUAGGGUCUAGAGUUGUAUUUGCUAAUCAAAUUAAAUCUGCUAGCGAAACAUCAGAGGGGCUACAGAUCCAAGACAAACAUUCCUCAUCUCUCUGGAAGUGAAGGCUUUUCUCCUUUCUUAGCCUCUAAUUCUAUUGUCAAGUUGUAUGUUUUGAAUUAUUUCAGAGUGACAGCGAUACUGUGACUAAUAUAUUCAGAAUAUCACAUACAGCAUCAGAUAUUCUGUUGGUUGUUUUUUUUUCUUCUUUUUUUUCUUUUUCUGAAGACCUGGGACUUGGUGCUUCUCGGCCUUAGUUCACUUUACCUACUAUAAUUACAAUAAGAAGAAAAUAGAUAUUAGCUUCUUAUUUCCCUCCAAUAGAUGGAUAAGUUCAUGAAAAUGAAGAAGUUAAACAACCUGCUUGGGUCAGACUUGUCAGAAGUAGGAAUAUCAGUGAGGGUUAAUUUUGUUUCCAAGAAGACCGCACAGCCACCUUGUCAUGCUGAGGUGUUGGAAGGGGAAUAUGCAACAAUCAGAGCAGAAGAGAUUUCCCAGGGAUUAGGAUCUGACCACUGACACAUCAGAGUGUUUGAGCAUCUGACUCCCAUAAUUGUGAAUAAGCAUCUGUGAAACCAUAGCAUUUACAGCUCUCAAGCCAAAUUGGGCCAGUUUAUAGUGUUACGGACUGUGAGCACACCAAGAGAUGAUCUCUGCUGCAAUGAGAGGAAGCAGGAGUGAAAGUCCUCUUCCUUUACAGAUGUCAAGUGAAGAGGCUAUAAAUACCCUAACCAAGACACUGGAGACUGUGGCUGAAGCACACAAAAGCCAUCUCCCUCCACUUCUCUGAGCAUCACAUUUCACUUGCCAUGCUGGAUACACAGUGAACAGCUUCACCUGCCUUGGGACCAGCCACUGGAAAACUGACAUAGCCACCAGCAGUGCUAGAAAGACAUAAUGCUUAGACAGAGGAUACACCUUGUAAGGCUACAGAAGAAUUGUCACCCGUGCAAGCUGCCUACUAAGUGUAGCAUCAAGCAGAAAUAUAAAUUCAUCAUUGCUGCAGAAAGAGUGCUAUUAAAACAGGGAUAAUGACAUUUUAGUUGGGCUAAUGCAUUUUUUUCUUGUGCUUUCAAGGACCUGUCAAGUGACAAACCUAUUACAUCAGGUUUCCUGGUGCAACAGAAAUAUUUCACCACAAAGGGAAUGCUAUUAUCCGUUACACUAUCAGAACUCUGUUGAAGCCGUAGUGGAGACAUGAAGUACUGCGUUCAGUUUUGGACCCCUGACUACCAGAAGUACAUUGAAGCCCUGUAACACAUCCAGAGAAGGGCAAAGAAGCUGGUGAAGGGUCUGGAGCACAAGCCUUAUGAGGAAUGGCUAGGAAACCAAGAUUAUUCUGUCUGGAGAAGAGGAGGCUCAGGGGACAUAUUACUACUGUCUUCAGCUCCUUGAAAGGUUGUAGUGAGGUGGGGGUUGGCCUCUUCUCCUGAAUAACUAGUGAUAGGACAAAAGGGAAUCGCUUUAAGUUGCACCAGGGGAGGAUCAGGUUGGAUAUUAGGAGAAAUUUCUUCUCAGAAAGAGCAGUGAGGCAUUGGCACAGGCUGCCCAGGGAGGUGGUGGAGUCACUGUCCCUGGAGGUGUUCAAGAAACAUCAAGAUGUGGCACUCAGGGACAUGAUUUAGUGGUAUGUUGAUGAUGGGCUGAUGGUUGGACUAGGUGAUCUGAGUCAUCUUUUCCAACCUAAAUGAUUCUAUGAUUCUGUGGCUGGUUUCGUAGCACACUAGACCUUCUCCUUGGUUCUAAGCAUUUCUACAGAAAAGCAAAGAAGUGAACGCUUCAGUUGCAAAAACUCAGCAUUCCACAUACCCCAGAAACCACUGUUCCAGCUGGGCCUGUGGGCUCCCCAAAACCAGGCAGAAGCCCAAAGUCCUCA
rnacentral:lncRNA from 1 species